AACAAUCUUCAGGGAGGGGUGUAAUUCCCUACCGGCGGUAAAGCCCGCGAGCAGUGCGUAGCAGUGCAGAUUCGGUUAAAUUCCGAAGCCGACAGUAAAGUCUGGAUGGAAGAAGAUGAGA
rnacentral:ncRNA from 2 species